rnacentral:rRNA from 1 species
AUUACUCCUACGGGAGGCAGCAGUAGGGAAUCUUCCACAAUGGACGCAAGUCUGAUGGAGCAACGCCGCGUGGAUGAAGAAGGUCUUCGGAUCGUAAAAUCCUGUUGUUGAAGAAGAACGGUUGUGAGAGUAACUGCUCAUAGCGUGACGGUAAUCAACCAGAAAGUCACGGCUAACUACGUGCCAGCAGCCGCGGUAAUA